UCAAUCUUUGAGGUUGUUUCAAGCCUAAAGCUUCUAUUGUGGUGGUUUGUUUGGUGACUAAAGCAACUUGUAAGUAAGGUUUGGGCAACGACGGUGAUCGUAACUGAGACGUUUGACGUCGAUUAUUACUUUUGCUUGACAGAUCGGGAAGGGAUUUGAUCGAGGGCUUUCUUAGCUUUAUUUUGCCGUUCUUGCGUUUUGAGGUUGUAACUUUCGUUUAAGCAGACUUGUAAGCUUAAAUUCUUAAGGAUGAUUUAUAUUAUGUAAUUUUGAGUGAAGCGUGGUAAGUUGGCAUGCGAUGAUAUAUGUACUAAGCUGAAUUGUUGGAUUAGUGAUUAUGUUUGAGUUAGGGU